GAUGAACGCUGGCGGCGUGCCUAAUACAUGCAAGUCGAGCGAACAGACGAGGAGCUUGCUCCUCUGACGUUAGCGGCGGACGGGUGAGUAACACGUGGAUAACCUACCUAUAAGACUGGGAUAACUUCGGGAAACCGGAGCUAAUACCGGAUAAUAUAUUGAACCGCAUGGUUCAAUAGUGAAAGACGGUUUUGCUGUCACUUAUAGAUGGAUCCGCGCCGCAUUAGCUAGUUGGUAAGGUAACGGCUUACCAAGGCAACGAUGCGUAGCCGACCUGAGAGGGUGAUCGGCCACACUGGAACUGAGACACGGUCCAGACUCCUACGGGAGGCAGCAGUAGGGAAUCUUCCGCAAUGGGCGAAAGCCCGACGGAGCAACGCCGCGUGAGUGAUGAAGGUCUUCGGAUCGUAAAACUCUGUUAUUAGGGAAGAACAAAUGUGUUAGUAACUAUGCACGUCUUGACGGUACCUAAUCAGAAAGCCACGGCUAACUACGUG
rnacentral:rRNA from 1 species